rnacentral:rRNA from 1 species
CUAGAUGACGCUGGCGGCGUGCCUAAUACAUGCAAGUCGAGCGAACGGACGAGAAGCUUGCUUCUCUGAUGUUAGCGGCGGACGGGUGAGUAACACGUGGAUAACCUACCUAUAAGACUGGGAUAACUUCGGGAAACCGGAGCUAAUACCGGAUAAUAUUUUGAACCGCAUGGUUCAAAAGUGAAAGACGGUCUUGCUGUCACUUAUAGAUGGAUCCGCGCUGCAUUAGCUAGUUGGUAAGGUAACGGCUUACCAAGGCAACGAUGCAUAGCCGACCUGAGAGGGUGAUCGGCCACACUGGAACUGAGACACGGUCCAGACUCCUACGGGAGGCAGCAGUAGGGAAUCUUCCGCAAUGGGCGAAAGCCUGACGGAGCAACGCCGCGUGAGUGAUGAAGGUCUUCGGAUCGUAAAACUCUGUUAUUAGGGAAGAACAUAUGUGUAAGUAACUGUGCACAUCUUGACGGUACCUAAUCAGAAAGCCACGGCUAACUACGUGCCAGCAGCCGCGGUAAUACGUAGGUGGCAAGCGUUAUCCGGAAUUAUUGGGCGUAAAGCGCGCGUAGGCGGUUUUUUAAGUCUGAUGUGAAAGCCCACGGCUCAACCCGUGGAGGGUCAUUGGAAACUGGAAAACUUGAGUGCAGAAGAGGAAAGUGGAAUUCCAUGUGUAGCGGUGAAAUGCGCAGAGAUAUGGAGGAACACCAGUGGCGAAGGCGACUUUCUGGUCUGUAACUGACGCUGAUGUGCGAAAGCGUGGGGAUCAAACAGGAUUAGAUACCCUGGUAGUCCACGCCGUAAACGAUGAGUGCUAAGUGUUAGGGGGUUUCCGCCCCUUAGUGCUGCAGCUAACGCAUUAAGCACUCCGCCUGGGGAGUACGACCGCAAGGUUGAAACUCAAAGGAAUUGACGGGGACCCGCACAAGCGGUGGAGCAUGUGGUUUAAUUCGAAGCAACGCGAAGAACCUUACCAAAUCUUGACAUCCUUUGACAACUCUAGAGAUAGAGCUUUCCCCUUCGGGGGACAAAGUGACAGGUGGUGCAUGGUUGUCGUCAGCUCGUGUCGUGAGAUGUUGGGUUAAGUCCCGCAACGAGCGCAACCCUUAAGCUUAGUUGCCAUCAUUAAGUUGGGCACUCUAAGUUGACUGCCGGUGACAAACCGGAGGAAGGUGGGGAUGACGUCAAAUCAUCAUGCCCCUUAUGAUUUGGGCUACACACGUGCUACAAUGGACAAUACAAAGGGCAGCGAAACCGCGAGGUCAAGCAAAUCCCAUAAAGUUGUUCUCAGUUCGGAUUGUAGUCUGCAACUCGACUACAUGAAGCUGGAAUCGCUAGUAAUCGUAGAUCAGCAUGCUACGGUGAAUACGUUCCCGGGUCUUGUACACACCGCCCGUCACACCACGAGAGUUUGUAACACCCGAAGCCGGUGGAGUAACCUUUUAGGAGCUAGCCGUCGAAGGUGGGACAAAUGAUUGGG